GUGGGGAAUAUUGGACAAUGGGCGCAAGCCUGAUCCAGCCAUGCCGCGUGAGUGAUGAAGGCCCUAGGGUUGUAAAGCUCUUUCACCGGUGAAGAUAAUGACGGUAACCGGAGAAGAAGCCCCGGCUAACUUCGUGCCAGCAGCCGCGGUAAUACGAAGGGGGCUAGCGUUGUUCGGAAUUACUGGGCGUAAAGCGCACGUAGGCGGACAUUUAAGUCAGGGGUGAAAUCCCGGGGCUCAACCCCGGAACUGCCUUUGAUACUGGGUGUCUCGAGUCCGGAAGAGGUGAGUGGAAUUCCGAGUGUAGAGGUGAAAUUCGUAGAUAUUCGGAGGAACACCAGUGGCGAAGGCGGCUCACUGGUCCGGUACUGACGCUGAGGUGCGAAAGCGUGGGGAGCAAACAGGAUUAGAUACCCCGGUAGUCC
rnacentral:rRNA from 1 species